UGCAGGAUGUCGAUCACUGAUGACAGUUUUCUUGGUCUUCUAGGCAUAGGUACAAUUUCAUCCGUAAAGUGAAGCUACUAGUCUUUUGUACUAUUUGGAUUAUACCUUAGUGCUCUUAUAUCAACAACGCAGUGAUCACCCGCCAAGACCAGGUCGAAAUGAUUCAUAGAUAUAGUAAUCCUUGUUGCUGAAAUCUUUGAAAAGUGUGUCGUCAGGUGUAAUUACUUCGUAAGGACAUGAUUUGGUUCUAGCUUCUUUAGUGAUGGUAAAAAGAUUUCCCGAUUUUUCAAUUUCCUCUCAAUUACCGAGUGAACAGAGUCGAUAGAGUCCACAUAAUUCUGUGUUAUAAUUAAGGACUAUGUUCUUUGCCAUAGCUAAUCUCAGCAACGUAUUUGACACAAAAUUGUAAUUUUGCACAGUACAACUAUCUGUAUAAAUUAUCCCAUCCUUUGGACUAUCAUUAAUUUACUUGGUUACAUAAUCUUCGAAAAAUGAUUCGUAUGUCGUAAAUUUCAAAUCACAGACUGUCGUCAAACCAGAAACAUGUGACACCAUUAUUUGCCAGGUAGACUGGUUAAUUGCAUUGGCAAGUAUGUAAUGUCACAUUAUGAGAUGUUUCUCCAAGGACUGUUACUAUGGAAUCUGUUGAAAUCAAUUGUAAUGUAGGCGUUUCUUGUCGUCAUCAUCAUGCAAUUCGAGGCCAUUACAUUCAACGUUAUUCUAUUAUGUUAUAGUCAAGUUGAUUGAGGUAACUAUCAGAAGGAGAAUGAAUGCCGUUGACAUAGCAUGGAUCGUCUUAAGAAUCUGAGCCUGAUAAAUUAGAUAUUUCAGAUAAAUUUUGGAUAACCUCAUCUAAAUUCUUUUCAGUUAGUAACACUUUAGGUAUUUUGAGUUUUACUUAACUAACACAAAGUUGCCAAUUUUAUACUAAAAUAUAAUAAGUCCUGAGUACAUUCUCCUCGUUUCGAUAUAUCGUUAACAAGGAGAAAGGCACACAAUUGUCAGUCGUAAGGAUAUAGAGAAUUAUAUUAGUUUGGGAACAAUAAGAGUGGUUCGACUGAGUGGGGAGUCCUGCACCUACUUUCAAGAUAGCACGAUGCGCUCUCUCGAUCUCAAUGAGGUAUGUUUUGGCAGCGCCUCUCCACAAGGGUAUGCAAUACACCACCAAAGAAUGACAUAAAGCAUAGAAUACCAUCCUAAGGACGUUGCGAUCAGCGAUGUGCUCGAGAUUCUUGAAGACAAAAAUAAGUUUACGUAAUUUUGAUACCAGGGAUUCGACGUAUUUCUAAAAGUAUAUAAUAUUUCUGAAAGUAUUCUUCCACAUUUGAACAUCCUGCUAGUGUUGUUUUGCGUUUUCCAACCCGGCGUGUUAGUCCUGAGUCAUCAACAGCACUAUUUGAAUCGAAUGGAUGAAGACCACAUCGCUUAAACCCACUUUUGAUGUUGUCAGACAUGUUAGGAUGUUUUAAUGCAUCAUUUAGCAAUGUGUAAAUGUUUGUUUUUGUGACGGCAGAAUGAAAAUUUUCUGGCUUUAAUAGGAAUACGCGGACUUUACAUUGCCAAUAUGUUUUUACUGGUGCAAAUACGCUAACGUCAGCUGGUAGUUAAAUAUGAAUGGUGUCGGGCGGAAGGGCAUACAAAAUAAUUUGCAUUUGUUCACUUUCACACAGCAUUAAGGACAUAUUCGACUUAUGACCAGCAGAAGCACGGGUUUUUUAAUGUUAUUUUCUACUAUCCAGUUGCGAAACUCGUUGGUGAUGUAAUCAAAGAAAACAUCUCCUUUCAUCCAACCUGUCUCCUAUCUGCGUAAGACCCUAUGUUGGGGCAUACUGUUCACUAUAACAGCUUUUGGUGGUCUAAUGUAUGAAAACACAAUACAAGGUGUUCACAUAUCUCCAUUAGCAUCAAAUGUUAAUAAUACCGUUAUGUUUUCUUUUUCGUUACUUGGUUUUAUUUGGUAUAAGUUUUUGAACCCUCUUGAGCCUAAAACUUUUCCCGUCUUUGGACGAAGACCAAAUCCACUUUUUUCUCCAUUGAAAAUUCUUUUAGGAUCACUCAAAAUAUCUUUUUGAUGUACGAGUGUUUGAAACUACACUUUUAACCCAAAUAAUUUAUUAACAGAAAAAACAAGAAAAUAAUUUUGUUGAAACACUAAACGUCAAAUCUGAUUUUAUUCUUCUUUUUCUUAUCCAACCUCAUUUGACUGUUAUUAAUAAAAAUAGUAUGAAUGUAACCAGAUUUGAAGAUUUUUACAUUAAACACAGUCUAUUCGACUCUUCUCCGACUUGGGCUCUAGCUUUAUUAAUGUCCUCCGUAUUUUAAACCCCUUCGGACCUAAAUUAAAUAUUGAUGAUAAAAAUAAUAUUUUUUAUGUUUUAUUAGCUGAUUACCGAUAAGAGUAUUAAGAACAUAUUUUCUUUAAAAAAAUAUAAUUUUCCUUUUACAGUUUUCUAGACAUUUUUAUGUCCUCUGAAAUGGACUUCAGGUUCUAAGUGUUGUUUCUUAAUGAUGUGUACCGGAUUUAUAAUAAUAAAUUAAUAUUUAAUUUAGUUCAAAUUUUUACUAAUAUUGUCUUUUAUUAACGCGCGCAAUAUAAAUCGCGUUUUAAUCCGUUAUCAAGUUUUUUAUUUAGAAUGUUACUAAUUUAUCUCUAUGGAUAGGUUUUUGAAUAAAAAACUAUGUAUUAAUGAAAAUGUUUAGUUAGUAACACACUUAAAUAUUAAUGAAAUCAAGAUUUUUGGUAAAAGAUACGAAAAUAGUUUCUUUCACUAGUGAAAUAUGUGUAUUUCGCAUUUGAAGCAAUUAACAUGUGUUUCGCCUUUGCAUUCUGGUUUUUUACAUGUAGUAGCUUCCUUUUUUCUAUCGUAUUCUGGCAAAUUUAUUUAUUUUUUUAUUACAUACAUGAUCUUAAAUAGAAAGAAGUUGGUGUGGUGGAAACACAAACUGGACACAGUUUUUCUGUCCACCAGGACGUCGAACAUAUUUAAAUAAUUAACUUAUUACAUACUUACGCCAGUGACAUACUAUACAAUAUAACAUUUUUACAAUUAAACCAUCAAAAUUGCACGAACAACGUAAUAAACCAAUUGAAACAUCGACGCUCCACAGUUAGCCGAUGAAAGAAACCUGUUCUUGACGAUUAAAAUGAUUAACAGUAUCGUACUGAACUUCAGGUAUUGGCCUCAUUUCAACUUGACGUCGUCGAGUUUGUGUAAAUGUUGGAAUGCUUAUGGGACUGCUACUUCCAGAAGAUGGACGUCCUCUUUUUCUGUUGUUUAGUGGCUGUCCCAUUUUUAACAGCAAAUCUGCGUCAGCAUUUUUAACGCGCUGCCGAAAAUUGAGUUAUUUCAGAAUAUAUUUCUCUGGUAUCUUACUGGAAUAUCAUACGAAGCGUCCAUUUUUUCUAUCGAAUAAAGAUACGGUACAGACUAAUUAGAUGAUCUGUUUUAUCUAUUCCUUCCAUUCCAUUUGAAUUCUACAUGUCUUCUCCAAGUUAUAUCCGCUUUACGCGUUUUAGGCUGUCGACUGGAUCGAGGAAUUGGCUCUUCUUGGUUUGAAUGGUGUUCAUUUUCUUCUUCAUCUUUCAAAGGUUCGUUGGGAGGACGAUAAUACUACCUACACGAGGCGGCGUUUUGAAGUAUUCUGUAGAAUUUCAUCAUCGCUUUCUUCGUCGUUAUUAGACAAAGUCCCAUCUUCAAGUAUGUUUAGCAAAUUGUCAACAUCUCAUCUAGAUGAGUCAAAACCUGAAAUAUCAUAAAGUAAUUAAAAAUAGUAUUUUUUUUUUCAAACUUAUCACAAUAAAUGUUAAGCUCAAAUUUAUCUAUUGAAACCUGUUGUCCAUUACAAUAGACAUGGCAAUAAGUACAGAUUUUACACAGUAAGAUACAAAGAUCCAUGAUUAUUAUAAUGUCUGCAUAUAAAAAGAACACUAUUCUUUGAGUAAAAUAUAUAAUUUAACAUAGAUAACCGCUAUGUUCAAUAAAAAUAAAACAAAAAUACACUUACGUGCUUUUCGGCUGUACAUGACUGUUCACUUCACUUUAUUAAUUAUUUCUACCUAACAACAUCACAUUUCUUGAACGUUGUUUAUGAUAUUUCGAUCCUAAGUACUUCUCGGAUUUCUAGCAUUGUUUACAUUCGACUUACAUAGUUCUUGUGUAUGUGACAUUUAUUAAGGGCUUCCCAAAUAGCCUCGUGAUAAAUUGUGUCAAACGCUUUGGCAUAGUCAAUAAAAGCGAUGUAAAGUGGCUUGUUAAACUCCCUGUAUUUUCCCAUUAUUUGUUGCAGUACAUAUAUAUAGUCCGUCGGAGGCCGGAUUCCGCUUGUUCUACUGGCUGAUGGUUAUCGAUUGUCGGACCCAGACGGCUUUGUAAAAUUGACAUGAAUAUUUUAUACACACUUGAAAGGAGACUAAUCGGGCGGUAUUUGGAGAUGUCUUCAGGGUCUACUUACUUGUAUAGAAGUACUAUGUCUGAUUUUCUCCAUUGCGUCGGUACUUGACCUGUGUUUAAAACCUCGUUGAACAAGUACGUAAGUGGGCUAGUUAGUAGGGUAACACCAGAUUUUAAAGCUUAAUUUUGUAUGCCGUCAGGGCAGGGACUUUUAUCUGUUUUGAGUUUCUUGAUAUUAUGUUUAAAUACUGCCUUCUCAUCCACUGGUGGCAAAUCGAUCACACUUUGCGGUUUUGGUAUUGCAGCGCUUGUUGCGGUGAUACUUGAUAAACACGGAGUAGGUUUUGUGUACAAUUGCUUAUAAUUGUCUGUGGCGCAGUUUAUGAUAUCUUUUCUGGUUUUUGUUUCUUUAGUUUUAGAUCGCAAGUUUUGGAUCCAACUUUUAUGUGUGGUUAAUUUCUUGUAUGCUCUUUUCGUGCUUCUGUACGUGUAUAUAUUUUCCUCAAUUAUUUUGUACCUGUGGUCUUUGUAGUCUUUAUCUAUUGCCUUGCUUGUAGUUUUAAAUAGUGUGCUCUUCUUUCUUUCGUUUUUUGUUUGGUUUUCAGGAGCUCAGUUCGCCUUUUAAGAAGAGUUUUAGUAGGCUCGCUAAGAAUUUUGUUAAUAGAUUUUUGUUGUUUAUUUAUACAUGUGCAUGCAACGCUGGAGGCAAUGAUGCUAAGUUGUCGUAAAAGGUUUGAAUAUCUUUUUCUUGUGUUUCAUUAUAUAUCAUUAAUUAACCCACACAAUUAAACAAACUAAAUAAAUAAAAUUACUGCUCCUCGACCUCCACAAUAGAAACUACUGCUUGUGACAGAAUAUCAGGUUCAAGGAUACUUUGUGAUAAAUCUCCAGCUUGGGAAUAAAAUACUAUAGAAUUUUCUCUUCCUGAUUGGGGAUUUACUGUAUUGUAUGGAGGUGUUACUGUAGAAACGCUGUCCAGAGUUGCAGCAGGAAUACUUUGAGGAUUCUAUCCAAUACAUGAUUGUGAAGGUUCUGGGGACUCAACGUAAUACGUAUUAGAAGAAGGCGAUGGAGUAAAACGGCUACUAUUAUUCAUUGGCGAAGGGGUUCUACUACUGUUCAUUAAUUGUUGUAUACGCAUAUCGGACAAAUAGUUUUGGAUAUGUUUUUGAGCUUCCAGCGCCGAAAGCAAAGGCAUAGCUUUUAACUGUUCUGCAACACUUUUAGCAAAAUGGUCAAACUCAUGUUCAGUAGUAGAUUGCGAACUUGCUAUUCAUAGUAUUGUUAAUGCAGCUCAUUUUAUCCACAAGUGAAUGUAAGUCCAGGAGUCUUCUUUUACGAGUGGCGUUAGUAGGAUUUGGCAUUGUAAAUUGUUGCUCGCUAGUUGAUGUAGGCUGACUGAUUUCAUCAUCAGUUGUUUGAUCAAUUGAAUUGUCUCCAUGAUUCAUUAUUCUCAUUAUUCUUCAUUAUUCUCCUGUAACAAAACAUAAAUAAAGUAUAUAUAGAGUAGACCAAACGACGCAGAAAAAACUUGACGAUUCGAAUGGUAUAUAGAACUCAUUUUAAGUAUUUUUGUCGCUUAGAUAUUUUUGCCUUUCAAGCGUCGAUAUUCCACACAGAGAGAACACGUGCAGUCACCACCAAUAUAUAAAGACGACUGACGGACCUUUGACUGACCGGCGACCGCCGCCGACCGCCCGAAUUGUUUUCGAUUGUGUACACAUGAUAUUGACUCCUAUUUCUUUCGAACAAGGUGCAAAAUGCAAGUGAGCAGGAGGUGAAGAACAAAACCUCACUUUUCCACUUUUUAUUAUUUUAAAGCAUGUGCUACACGGUAUGAAACGGCGGUUUGAAACGAAAUAAAAGCGAGUUGCGCUUUUCGGCUACACGGUUUAAAAC